GGAGAUAUGGCUCAGUUGGUAGAGCGAUUGCCAGGCAUGCGCAAGGCCCUGGGUUCAAUCCCCAGCACCACUG
rnacentral:tRNA from 1 species